GUGUAUUAUGAAAGCAGAGAUGGUUAGCACCUUCCUUGACAAGGAUGGAAGAAGUCCUAGUGGCAUUGAAACUCAUGCAUGUUUAAGCAAUUGCCACCUACAUCAUGGCAUUUCUAACCAUGUUGUUCU